rnacentral:rRNA from 1 species
UACGGAGGGGGUUAGCGUUGUUCGGAAUUACUGGGCGUAAAGCGAACGCAGGCGGACUUUUAAGUAGGAAGUGAAAGGUUGGAGCUCAACUCCGACACUGCUCCCUAUACUGGAAGUCUUGAGUGUUGGAGAGGAAAGCGGAACGACACGUGUAGCGGUGAAAUGCGUUGAUAUGUGUCGGAACACCGAUGGCGAAAGCAGCUUUCUGGACAAAUACUGACGCUGAGGUUCGAAAGCCAAGGGAGCGAACAGG